GAUUCUGUCUGCGUAACACAUUAGAGAUUUAUAUGAGGUACAUAUGCACCAGCCUAACUACUCAAUGCAGUAAUGCCGCAUCAGGCUCACACUGGUGUGAUUUACUCUGGUAGCUUCCUCGGGUAGUCACACCAGGGCAGCAAAUCUACACUGUGGGGUUGCAUUGGUGCAGAUACAGGGAUGCAAACAAUAACAAGGCCUCAACUCCUUAAGUAAGUCAAUGGAAGUGUUUGAGGAGUAAGAUAGGAACAAAGGAAUUGCCAGAUUGAAUCAGACCCGAGGUUCAGCUAGUCCAAUAUCCAGUCUCUGACAGUGGCCAGCACGAGAUGCCUCAGCGGAAGCAUUGGAAAAGGUGACCCAUGCCAACAAGAGGUGAUCCAGAAACUUGUGGCUGACUAACUCAAGACAAUUCAAUGCCAAACCCCAGUGGACGUGAAACCAGUCAACUGUAUCACAGGCCCAUCAUGACAUUGUUUUAAAGUGGUCAACAUAUGCUGGGUAAAAAAGCGAAAGCAUUUUGCUGCCUCUAAAAAGUAUACUUUAAGAAAAGAAAAUGUACAAGAUUAGCAAGUUUGUACCUUUAAUAUAAGUAUCCAAGCUGCAGCAUGCAACCUGUUUUCUCAUUUCAGAAAUAAAAUGAUAUUUUU